rnacentral:rRNA from 1 species
UGGGGAAUAUUGCACAAUGGGCGCAAGCCUGAUGCAGCCAUGCCGCGUGUAUGAAGAAGGCCUUCGGGUUGUAAAGUACUUUCAGCGGGGAGGAAGGGAGUAAAGUUAAUACCUUUGCUCAUUGACGUUACCCGCAGAAGAAGCACCGGCUAACUCCGUGCCAGCAGCCGCGGUAAUACGGAGGGUGCAAGCGUUAAUCGGAAUUACUGGGCGUAAAGCGCACGCAGGCGGUUUGUUAAGUCAGAUGUGAAAUCCCCGGGCUCAACCUGGGAACUGCAUCUGUGACUGGCAAGCUUGAGUCUCGUAGAGGGGGGUAGAAUUCCAGGUGUAGCGGUGAAAUGCGUAGAGAUCUGGAGGAAUACCGGUGGCGAAGGCGGCCCCCUGGACGAAGACGGACGCUCAGGUGCGAAAGCGUGGGGAGCAAACAGG